CUCAUCUUACUGAGGAGACCAGUAAGGUGGUAAAGAAUGUUUUUGAGUAUAGUACUUUUAUGGGACCAAGCUGGGGCCAAAGAAGCAAAUUUCCUUUGUUGGACAUAAACAGUUAAUGUUUUAAAGGGUAAUCAAUCUAUAAGCUUUGAAUUUAUCUUCUCCUGUGACAAAAAUCUACAAAUUAACAUUAUUCUAUUUUUAUGACACACAGUGAAGGACAUCCAGAUUUGGACUCCUCCAUCUUACACUUCCCAUGCAAGGUUUCCUGGAGGGGAAUCUGUCCUCCCUCUGUCAACUCUCUCACCCACCCUUCACUUCUCACCCUGCUGACAUGUGGCCUCUCCCUGUCUUCCUUUCCAGCAGCCUCAGUAGAUCACAUUCAACCGAUGACCAAGCCCCUCCACCUGACAAACCAAAGCACAUCUUCUGGGAUUCCUAAGGCACUUGCCCUGCCAGGGUCUCGUAAUUCCUGAAUUCUAAUCUCAUUUCCCUGGUAGUUCACUUCUCCCAGGUCAUGUUGUUUAUCUCCAUCUUCCUCUGUUUAUAUCGUUUCAUGGACUUUUCUACAUCUUCGCCUAAACCCGAGGACUCUUCACGUCAUUCCCAGGUGCCCUCAGCUCUCGUGUUGCCUCUGAUUCCCUGCUCUCCUAUCAUCCCACCAACGCUCAUCCCAUCACAGACCCAUGAGUGCAGCAGUGUCCUCUCUGGCCUCCCUGUCUCCAGUGGUGAAGUUGGGGAAGGAUGGCCCCAAGUAUGCCUCCCACCCUAAUGUUCCUACUUCAGGGCAAGCUCCCUGAGCAGGGAUGAGGCUGUCUAGCACAGCCUGGCAUUCCACUGCCAACCACCAGACUCAACACCAGAUUGGAAAACAGCUCCAGAGGAAGGAUAUCGUUUGAGGUCACCCGGUUUGUGAAGAUGAAGUCAGAAUUUAGAGCCCAUGUUGUUCACCGAUGAGUUAUGUCACUAACCACGUUCCAAAGUGAUGCUAGAUGGAAAGAAUGCUGGUGCUUCAGAGUCCUGGGGCAACCUUGAGAAGCUGCAGAGGAGUGGAUGACCACAAGUUUUAGAUGCUCCUUCUCUUCAAAUUUCGUGCUCAUCAAAGUACAUAUUUUUCUGCACUGUAUCAAAGAAUCCUUUGUUUAAUAGAAGACACAGAAUAAUUCAGUAUGGACCUUUGUCUGAGGCUGAGUAAUAUUUCUUGGCAUUAUCUUUAUCUAUUCAUCUGUCGAUGGACACUAAGCUGUUUCCAUAUCUUGGCUCUUGUGAACAAGGCUGCAGUCAACACAAGAAUGCAGAUGUCUCUUUGAGAUUCUGAUGUCAAUUCUGGUGGAUAUAUACCCCAAAGUGGGAUCGCUGGAUUGUGCUGAGUGAAAUAAGCCAGUCACAGAAGGACAAAUAUUGUGUGAUUCCACUUAUGCGAGCUAUCUGAAACGGUUCAACUCACUAUAGUUGACAACACUGCAUUGUGUCAUUGAAAUUUGCGAAGAGAGAACUUAAAUAUGCUCGCAAGAAAAAGAAAGAGAGAAGAAAAGAGAAACCUGUGUGGUGACGGAUAUGUUAUUUAUCCUGAUGAGGGGAAUCCUUUUGCAAUGUAUCAAAUCAUGUCAUUGUAAAGAGAUAACACGUUUAUUUGGCAGUGAUGCCCUAUUAAAACUGGAAAAAUUCCCCCCCAAACCAAAAAAGAAGAAAAAAAUGUCAAACUCACAGAAACAGAGGAGAAUGGUGAUUGCCAGGAGCUGGGGGAAGAGGAAAGAGGGAGCUGCUGUCCGACAGGCACAAAGUUUCAGUCGUGCAAGAUGAGUAAGUUCUAGAGAGCUGCUCACAGCCCUGUGCCCAGAGUUCCUGGUACUGCAGUGUGCGCUUAUGACUUGGUUAAGUGGGCCGACCAUAGGGUAAGGGUUCUUACCACAAUAAAAAAAAAAACUGGGCAAUUUCUGGUGAUCACAAAAUGCUUAGAGUAUAUAACUGAAGGAGUAGUACAUGAAAUAUCAAACUUCAAAAUUAGAUAAUUUCGAAGAAAUGAAAACUAGAAUUGUUUGACAUUGAAAGAAUUAAUAUCUCACUAAAUGUAUUCUCUGAAAAAGAUGUACAGUGUUUAUAAAUGCAGCGUUGAGAGGAUCUGACGGGGUGACAUUUUAAUAAACUACUUGACGUUUAGUGGAUACUCAAUAAAUGUUCGUUCUCCUUUCAUUUCUGGUAACUUUGGACCCAAUUCCUUCCCAGAGGCAUCAGAAGAGAUCACAUCCAUGUGCUUAGAGAACGUCACGUGUGCUCUGCGUCCUCCACGUAGGCAGGGCGGGAUGGCUGAAGUGGGCUGGAGUCCCCACAGGUGGCUGGAGAUGCUCAUGUUCUAUCCCAGGACCAACAAACAGAACCAGAAGAAGAAGCAGAAAGUUGAGCCACCCACGCCACAGACUGUGCUUUGUGACCUGCCUUUGCCUGGAGGAGUCACACCUUGCAUGCUGAUAACAAUUCUGGGCACAGUGAAGCGCAAUGCAAACAGGCUUGCUUGAGAUUUCAAGAGAGGGCAUGAUGUCGCCUUCCACUGUAACCCGCGCUUCAGUAAGAACAACAGGGGAGCCAUUGUUUGCAUUACAAAGCUGGAUAAUAUCUGGGGAAAGGAAGAAAGACAGGCAGAUUUCCCCUUUGAAAGUGGUAAACCAAAACAGUUUCUGAGGGAAGAACCAUCAACAGCUUUUACUUGAUUGCUGGAAGAACGCAGCAAUCAGUGGAUGAGAAAGGAAAGUCUGAGUACUGUAAUAUAAUUUAUCUUAAAACUCCAUGGAGAAGAGACUGUUAUCAAACUGAGGUUUAUGAAGGAUUACGUCUCUUGCCCAAGGCCAUAUAUGGCCUUCAACAUUUGGAUUUAAAACAGUGGCAGGGUAGAGAUUAAAACCCAAGUCAAAGCCCACACUCUUUGCCACUAUCCUGUACACAUCUUGGGCCGCUGCUAGACACACCGGAACCACCUGUUGGAUAUGCCAGAAACAUCUGCUGGAUACGCUGAAACCACCUGCCAAAUAUGCCAGAAUCAGGUCCCGGACAUGGUGGAAACACCUGCCAGACACGUCCAAAUCACCUGUCAGAUACGCCAAAACCAUGUGCCACACAUGCCGGAACCACCUCGUGGACACAUCUGCUGGAUACUCCAGAAACAGGAAAACCACAGGACGGAACCAGGUGCCAGACAAGCGUGAAGCCCCUUCCAGACUAGCCUGAACCACUUGCUGGACCAGCCUGAAUCACUUUAUGGACAUUCCAGAACCACAUGCCCAGCACGCUAAAACCGAGUGACUGACACGCCAGAAUCCCCUGCUGAGCACACCUGAACCGGUCACUGUGAAACCACCUGCCGGAUACACCAGAACCAGGUGCCGGACAUGCCAGAACCACCUGCCAGAUACACCAGACACAGGUGUUGCACAUGCUGAAACCAGGUUCCCAACAUGACUGAACCACCUGCCAGACACGUUGGAGCCACCUGCCGGAUAUGCCAAAAAACAGCUGUUGCACAUGCUGGAACCAGGUGCUGGACACACCUGAACCACCUGCUGGACAAGCUUCAACCACCUGCUAGACACAAGGGACCCACUUGCCGGACACGCCGUCAUCACCUUCAGGAAACGCCAGAACCAUCAAGUGAACAUGCCGGAAGCACCAGCCGAACAUGCCAGAGCCAGGUGCUUGACACGCCAUAUCUGCCUGCCAGACACACUGAAAUCACCUGCCAGAUAUGCCAGAACCAGGUCCCGGAUACGCCAGAACCAACUUCCAGGCAAGCCAGAAAAAUCUGCCGGACACGCCGGAACCACCCCUCAGAGUGGCCAAAACCACGAAAGUGAAAUGACGGGAUCAUGUCCUGGGCAUGUUGUAGCCACAUGUCAGACACGCUGGAAUCAACCGCUGGACAUGCUGGAACCAACUGCUGGACACCCCGGAAGCACCCACCGCACAUGUCAGAACCACCUUCUGGACAUACUGGAAACUCAUGCCAGACAACAGGAACCCCCUGCCUGACAAGCUGGAACCACCUGAA
ensembl:lncRNA